UACGAAGGGGGCUAGCGUUGCUCGGAAUUACUGGGCGUAAAGGGCGCGUAGGCGGAUAGUUCAGUCGGGGGUGAAAGCCCGGGGCUCAACCUCGGAACUGCCUUCGAUACUGGCUAUCUUGAGUACGGGAGAGGUGUGUGGAACUCCGAGUGUAGAGGUGAAAUUCGUAGAUAUUCGGAAGAACACCAGUGGCGAAGGCGGCGACCUGGUCCUUGACUGACGCUGAGGCGCGAAAGCGUGGGGAGCAAACAGG
rnacentral:rRNA from 1 species